rnacentral:rRNA from 1 species
AGAGUUUGAUCCUGGCUCAGAUUGAACGCUGGCGGCAUGCCUUACACAUGCAAGUCGAACGGCAGCACGGGUGCUUGCACCUGGUGGCGAGUGGCGAACGGGUGAGUAAUACAUCGGAACGUACCUUAUCGUGGGGGAUAACGCAGCGAAAGCUGUGCUAAUACCGCAUACGCCCUGAGGGGGAAAGCGGGGGAUCGAAAGACCUCGCGCGAUUAGAGCGGCCGAUGCCUGAUUAGCUUGUUGGUGGGGUAAAAGCCCACCAAGGCGACGAUCAGUAGCUGGUCUGAGAGGACGAUCAGCCACACUGGGACUGAGACACGGCCCAGACUCCUACGGGAGGCAGCAGUGGGGAAUUUUGGACAAUGGGGGAAACCCUGAUCCAGCAAUGCCGCGUGAGUGAAGAAGGCCUUCGGGUUGUAAAGCUCUUUUGUCAGGGAAGAAACACCGGCUCUAACACAGUCCGGGAAUGACGGUACCUGAAGAAUAAGCACCGGCUAACUACGUGCCAGCAGCCGCGGUAAUACGUAGGGUGCGAGCGUUAAUCGGAAUUACUGGGCGUAAAGCGUGCGCAGGCGGUUAUACAAGACAGGCGUGAAAUCCCCGGGCUUAACCUGGGAAUGGCGCCUGUGACUGUAUAGCUAGAGUGUGUCAGAGGGGGGUAGAAUUCCACGUGUAGCAGUGAAAUGCGUAGAUAUGUGGAGGAAUACCAAUGGCGAAGGCAGCCCCCUGGGAUAACACUGACGCUCAUGCACGAAAGCGUGGGGGAGCAAACAGGAUUAGAUACCCUGGUAGUCCACGCC